rfam:Firmicutes bacterium CAG:94 genomic scaffold, scf351
ACAAUGGUACUUCCGCCUUGGACGCUUCACAGCAUCGGGCGGCCCGGCAUCAGCAUGCGGGGAGAGAGAAACUCUCUAUGG